rnacentral:misc_RNA from 1 species
CGCACAUUGCGCCCCCUGGUAUUCCGGAGGGCAUGCCUGUCCGAGCGUCAUUUCAGCACUCAAGCCCAGCUUGGUUUUGGGCGCGGUCCCGGGACCCGCUCGCAACCCAUAGGCGACACCGUCCGACCCCGAGCGUAGCAGUAACCCUCGCUCCGGGGACCCGGAUGGCCCCUGCCAGCAGACGCACCUAGAGUUUGACCUCGGAUCAGGUAGGGAUACCCGCUGAACUUAA